UACAAAAGGUUCUCUGAAAAAAAAAAUGAAGCUCAAGCUUAUACUUAAAGAAUACAUAGGAGUGAAAUAGAUAACUGAUAUCUGAUGAUAAACUCAGAAACACUCUAGGAGAGAGAGUUAAGAUGCCCCAAAGUAUAAAAUCAAGACACAGAACAAGUAAUAUUGGAAACAAUGAACAGAAAUAGGGAACCUGAGUUCCACAAUGAGAAUGUAAGCGGCAAUCUUGAAGACAACCACCAAGGCGGGAAGGGGAUAGGACAAGGAUUGUCCACCAUGACACUGAGAUUAUGCCAUGUGUUCCAAGAUCUCCUUGGAGGUAACAGAUUUUGGAGAAAGAGGGUACCAGGGAAGAAGAGAUGGUGAACAAAGGACAGGCCAUUCACAGGAAAGAGCAACACGCUUGGAUUUAGAAGUUCUAAUUUCCUUUCCUUCUGUGUCGCUAACUGGAUUA
rnacentral:lncRNA from 1 species